AGAGUUUGAUCAUGGCUCAGAUUGAACGCUGGCGGCAGGCCUAACACAUGCAAGUCGAGCGGCAGCACAAGGGAGUUUACUCCUGAGGUGGCGAGCGGCGGACGGGUGAGUAAUGCCUAGGGAUCUGCCCAGUCGAGGGGGAUAACAGUUGGAAACGACUGCUAAUACCGCAUACGCCCUACGGGGGAAAGAGGGGGACUUUCGGGCCUCUCGCGAUUGGAUGAACCUAGGUGGGAUUAGCUAGUUGGUGAGGUAAUGGCUCACCAAGGCGACGAUCCCUAGCUGUUCUGAGAGGAUGAUCAGCCACACUGGGACUGAGACACGGCCCAGACUCCUACGGGAGGCAGCAGUGGGGAAUAUUGCACAAUGGGGGAAACCCUGAUGCAGCCAUGCCGCGUGUGUGAAGAAGGCCUUCGGGUUGUAAAGCACUUUCAGUAGGGAGGAAAGGUUGUAAGUUAAUACCUUGCAGCUGUGACGUUACCUACAGAAGAAGGACCGGCUAACUCCGUGCCAGCAGCCGCGGUAAUACGGAGGGUCCAAGCGUUAAUCGGAAUUACUGGGCGUAAAGCGUGCGCAGGCGGUUUGUUAAGCGA
rnacentral:rRNA from 1 species